rnacentral:rRNA from 1 species
CCUACGGGAGGCUGCAGUGGGGAAUAUUGGACAAUGGGGGCAACCCUGAUCCAGCCAUGCCGCGUGUGUGAAGAAGGCCCUCGGGUUGUAAAGCACUUUCAGUGAGGAAGAACGCCUGGUGGUUAAUACCCAUCAGGAAGGACAUCACUCACAGAGGAAGCACCGGCUAACUCCGUGCCAGCAGCCGCGGUAAUACGGAGGGUGCGAGCGUUAAUCGGAAUUACUGGGCGUAAAGCGCGCGUAGGUGGCUUGAUAAGCCGGUUGUGAAAGCCCCGGGCUCAACCUGGGAACGGCAUCCGGAACUGUCAAGCUAGAGUGCAGGAGAGGAAGGUAGAAUUCCCGGUGUAGCGGUGAAAUGCGUAGAGAUCGGGAGGAAUACCAGUGGCGAAGGCGGCCUUCUGGACUGACACUGACACUGAGGUGCGAAAGCGUGGGUAGCAAACAGGAUUAGAUACCCCAGUAGUC